GCCUACGUAGCUCAGUUGGCAGAGCACGCCCUUGGUAAGGGCGAGGUCAUGGGUUCAAAUCCCAUCGUAGGCU
rnacentral:tRNA from 1 species